UGCAUUCCCUUUUGGCCUGAAAAUGAUGCCAACAAACUGCUUGUUAGAGUUGAAAAUUCUGAUCUCCCCCCAAAGAAGAUAAAUUUUGAUAAGCAAGAAAACUGUCUGCUGCUGCAUUUGGACAACAAGCUUGGAGGAAUUACAGUGGAUGUUAACCUGACUGAACAUUCUACGGUGAUUACCUUUUCUAAUUACCAUGACGGCGCAGCUCCAUUUCUGUUGAUAAACCAUACUAAAGAGGAAAUUAUUGAGUAUGGACAAAGCUCCCUCAGUGAAUUAGAAGACUGUCUUCAGCCAAAUAAGGCAGUACUGUAUACUUGGGCAGACCCAGCGGGAUCUAGAAAAUUGAAAUGGAAAUGUGGAAACAGAACUGAGGAAAUUACCCCAAAAGAGGACAAAAUGGAAAUACUCAGCCUGGAUUGUAGAAAAGUGGUCUAUUUAGUGUCAUUUUUUGAAGGUUUGCAGCGUAUUGUCCUGAUCACUGAAGAUGAGAAUGUCUUUAAAUUAACAUAUGAAAGUGUAAAAGCAGAACUAGCAGAACAAGAAAUUGUUCUGUCUUUGCAAGAUGUUGGAAUUUCAUUGGUUAAUAAUUAUACAAAGCAAGAGGUGUCCUACAUCGGAAUUACAAGUUCUGAUGUGGUUUGGGAGACAAAACCCAAGAAGAAGUCAAGAUGGAGACCAAUGAGUGUUAAGCAGACUGAUAAAUUAGAACAAGAAUUCAAAGAUUACUGUGAGCUAACUCCUUCAGAAAAUAAGAUAAUUGAGUUGGAAUCAAAUGUUUUGGUAUGUUUAACUCCUAAUGGAAUGAACAUGAAAAUUCAACAACCAAAUGAGAUUCCUAUCAGAAGGAAUUAUCUGCCAGCUUUAAAAGUAGAAUACAAUUCUUCUGCACAUCAGAAGUCUUUCAGAAUUCAAAUUUACAGGAUACAGAUACAAAACCAGAUUCCUGGAGCCAUAUUUCCCUUUGUGUUCUAUCCUAUUAAACCUCCAAAGUCCAUCACCUUGGAUUCAGCACCAAAACCAUUUACUGAUGUCAGUAUUGUCAUGAGAACUGCAGGACAUUCACAAAUAUCUCAUAUUAAGUAUUUUAAGGUCCUCAUUCAAGAGAUGGAUCUCAGAGUAGAUCUUGGCUUCCUGUAUGCACUGGUUGAAUUCUUUACACAGACUGAUGUGCCAAGUGACCAAGAGCUAGAACUUUUCAAAAAGGAUGUUGAAUCUCUUCAAGAAGAACUGAUGAGUGUGUCAUCAAUGGAUACGUCACAAAUCAGCUUGUAUGAAUACUUUCAUAUUUCUCCAAUUAAGGCUAUUAAACAGAUGUAUGUUCUUAUUCUUGGCCUUGAUGUCUUGGGUAAUCCAUUUGGAUUCAUAAGAGGCUUGUCUGAAGGAGUGGAAGCAUUCUUCUAUGAACCUUACCAGGGAGCCAUCCAGGGUCCUGAAGAAUUUAUAGAAGGAAUGGCGUUAGGACUUAAAGCACUAGUUGGGGGUGCUGUUGGUGGAUUAGCUGGUGCUGCAUCAAGAAUCACUGGUGCUAUGGCAAAAGGAGUAGCUGCAAUAACUAUGGAUGAGGAUUACCAGCAGAAAAGGAGAGAAGCCAUGAAUAAACAGCCCACUGGUCUGAGAGAGGGUAUCACUCGUGGCGGAAAAGGAUUAGUUUCUGUAAGGAGAAAAAAAUUAUUAAAAAAUUAAUGAAUUUUAUGCAGGCAAGAGUAGCAAAUAGAGGCUGCCGUAGUCACCAGAGUUGAGCCCAGAAAGAAGGAGCAGCUGGUUUUUUCAAAGGUGUUGGAAAAGGCUUAGUGGGAGCAGUAGCUAGGCCCACUGGAGGAAUCAUAGACAUGGCAAGCAGCACAUUUCAGGGUAUUAAAAAAGUUACAGAUUCAUCAGAAGAUGUGAUAAGCCUGCGCCCACCUCGCUUCUUUGGUGAAGAUGGAGUUAUUAGACCUUACAGAUUAAGAGAUGGAACUGGAAGUCAAAUGUUACAGAAAAUUGAAAACGGAAGAUUUGCAAAACUCAGAUAUAUUGCACAUGCUAUGGUCAACAGUACAGAUCUGUUAAUGGUAACAAAAAGUGGUGUGCUAUUUGUGACAAAAGGGACAUUUGGACAGCUGACAUGUGAAUGGCAAUACACUUACGAUGAAUUUACCAAAGAACCAUUCAUUGUUGAUGGCAGAAGAUUACGCAUUGAAGCCAAGGAACGAGUUAAAUCUGUGUUCCACGCCAAAGAAUUUGGAAAAAUUAUUAAUUUUAAAAGUCCAGAGGAUGCUAAGUGGAUCCUUUCUAAACUGGAAGAAGUGAGAGAGAAUCAGCCAAAAUUGUAA